rnacentral:rRNA from 1 species
GUAGGUGGCAAGCGUUGUCCGGAAUUAUUGGGCGUAAAGCGCGCGCAGGCGGUUCUUUAAGUCUGAUGUGAAAGCCCACGGCUCAACCGUGGAGGGUCAUUGGAAACUGGAGAACUUGAGUACAGAAGAGGAAAGCGGAAUUCCACGUGUAGCGGUGAAAUGCGUAGAGAUGUGGAGGAACACCAGUGGCGAAGGCGGCUUUCUGGUCCGUAACUGACGCUGAGGCGCGAAAGCGUGGGGAGCAAACAGGGAUUAGAUACCCUGGUAGUCCACGCCGUAAACGAUGAGUGCUAAGUGUUAGGGGGGUUUCCGCCCCCUUAGUGCUGCAGCUAACGCAUUAAGCACUCCGCCUGGGGAGUACGGCCGCAAGGCUG